GUGAACAUGAAGUAAAUGUUCUAUAGCCCUCUAGGACUCUAAAUAUAAAUAACAGUAUAUGCUUAUCGCCAAAAAGAAACGAGAAGAACAAGUUUGUGACUGGUAUUAUGGAGCAGAAACCUAUCAUUGUUUGCUUUAUGGUGCUUCUGCUGCUAGGAAAUUGCACUCAUGCUGAGUAUUGCAAAACUGAACCUGCUUUUGAGACCGCUUUGUGCGCAUAUGUUACUUGCCUGAGUACCUGCAUAUCCAUUUGGGGUAGUUUUGUCAAAGAAGCAGAUUGUAAGCCCGUGAGACCGUUCGAUACAAUUUGUACUUGUCUCGUCUGUUUCUAGAAUUACAACCUGCCAUCAUGUCGACCCAUGGGCAAUGAUGUGAUCCAGUAAUAAAAUCUUCUUGUGAAAUGCAUGUAAGGAUAUAUGAGGUCACUAAAUUUGGAUGUUACAGUUUAAUUUGAUUUGAUUUUGUUC